UGGGGAAUUUUGCACAAUGGGGGAAACCCUGAUGCAGCGACGCCGCGUGAUUUAGAAGGCCUUCGGGUUGUCAAAAUCUUUUCUAUGGGAAGAAAAUGACAGUACCAUAGGAAUAAGGACCGGCUAAUUACGUGCCAGCAGCCGCGGUAAUACGUAAGGUCCGAGCGUUGUCCGGAAUCAUUGGGCGUAAAGGGUACGUAGGCGGGUAAGCAAGUUAGAAGUGAAAUCCUAUAGCUCAACUAUAGUAAGCUUUUAAAACUGCUCAUCUUGAGGUAUGGAAGGGAAAGUGGAAUUCCUAGUGUAGCGGUGAAAUGCGCAGAUAUUAGGAGGAAUACCGGUGGCGAAGGCGACUUUCUGGCCAUAACCUGACGCUGAGGUACGAAAGCGUGGGUAGCAAACAGG
rnacentral:rRNA from 1 species